rnacentral:rRNA from 1 species
CCUACGUGUGGCAGCAGUGAGGAAUAUUGGUCAAUGGGCGCGAGCCUGAACCAGCCAAGUAGCGUGAAGGAUGACUGCCCUACGGGUUGUACACUUCUUUUGUAAAGGAAUAAAGUGAGGCACGUGUGCCUUUUUGUAUGUACUUUAUGAAUAAGGAUCGGCUAACUACGCGCCAGCAGCCGCGGUAAGACGGAGGAGCCGAUCUUUAUUCGGAUUUAUUGGGUUUAAAGGGAGCGUAGAUGGAUGGUUAAGUCAGUUGUGAAAGUUUGCGGCUCAACCGUAAAAUUGCAAUUGAUACUGGCAGCCUUGAGUACAGUUGAGGUAAGCGGAAUUCGUGGUGUAGCGGUGAAAUGCGUAGAUAUCACGAAGAACUCCGAUGGCGAAGGCAGCCUACUAAACUGCCACUGACAUUGAUGCUCGAAAGUGUGGGUAUCAAACAGGAUUAGAUACCCCAGUAGUC